CAUAGGUUAAUGAGGCGAACCGGGGGAACUGAAACAUCUAAGUACCCCGAGGAAAAGAAAUCAACCGAGAUUCCCCCAGUAGCGGCGAGCGAACGGGGAGCAGCCCAGAGCCUGAAUCAGUGUGUGUGUUAGUGGAAGCGUCUGGAAAGGCGCGCGAUACAGGGUGACAGCCCCGUACACAAAAAUGCACAUGCUGUGAGC
rnacentral:rRNA from 1 species